rnacentral:lncRNA from 1 species
CUGUGACUGUGCAGCGCCCGUGGUGAUCUGGGGUAGGGGGCACCCCUACAAUGGGACCCCUCCCCCAUAAUCCUUUCUGUCCAGCCCCUCUCUCACUGGAGCAGCUCCAGGUCCGUUUCUCCUUUGCUCCCUCCCAGCCGGGGCUGAGAGGGUGUGUAGUGGCUGGAAGGGUUUCAAGGUCCUUGCCCCAUCCCCAGAAAGGGGGAGAUGGUGUGGACUUCUCUGGCCCAGCCCUGCCACCCUUAUUCAGCCCGGCUUUGGGCCGUCUGUGUCAGUGGUUUCCGGUCUUUUUUUUUCCUGGCUAAAAUAUUUUGCAAAAGACCAGGUAAUUGGGCAGUGGAGUGAAGAGGGGGCAGGGGUUACCCCCCUCACCUCCAAAGCAGGUGGUGUGAAUCUUAACAGCAAUUAAAGAGCAAGUGGUUUUGUCU